CUUAUAAUUGUAAAUACCUUGGACCUAUAGUUUAAGAAAUUAUAUAUACCUGUUAUCAGACGUUUUCUCUCUACCAUCGACAAUCGAAAAGCUAGAGUCUUUUUCAUCAAUUUCAUCUUCCUUCUUCUCUCCUUGUGGUUCUGGUGGUAAAACGUCAUCUUUAUUUUUCUCUCCUUGUGAUUUUGAAGCGGUUAUAAAAUAAACAUAUAAAAAAUUAGAUGCCUUACGAAAAGGAAAGAAAGCCACAAUGCUAUAAGUAAUGGGUAAUUGCGCCAAAGUGAUUUAACCAUACCCCUUGGAUUUGCUUAUACUUUAGUAAAUUCAUUUCCACCACAGAAAAUAGAUGCAGGUCACAGAGUAGUUUGCG